rnacentral:tRNA from 1 species
ACUUUUAUAGGACAAUAGUAAUCCAUUGGUCUUAGGAAUCAAAAAUCUUGGUGCAACUCCAAAUAAAAGUA